AGGAUGCAAAGGAAACAAAUGCAGACUCGGAUGAACAUGAUGGAAGUCAUGGAAAACGGCAAUUGAAAAGCCAAAUCAAUUAUUGCUUCAUUUGCAAGAAACCCCAAACAAAAUUUGCUCGGCACUUAAAAAGGCAUGCACACCAGAAUGCAGAUGUCGCCAAGGCGUUAUCACUACCUCCAAGUUCAUGUGAGAGAAAGAAAAUUUUGGAAAAAUUGCGGAAUCUUGGUAAUUUCUCACAUAAUACAGAAGUCCAAGCCACUGGAUCCGGGGCUCUAAAAGUCAAAAGAGAAUCUAAAACAAGCAAUGUCUCUGAGGCAUAUGAUUUCUGCACCCACUGCAAAGGGAUGUUUUCCCGUAGAGAACUAUGGAAACACAUGAAGCGAUGCCUGCUCAAUUCGGCAAUGACAGAGGAAACAAGUGCAGGAAGGAAAAAAAUUACAAGUUUGUCUAAAUAUGGAGCAUCUGAAAGUGUAUCUCAAAAGCUCUUGGCAUUGAUCGAAAAAAUGCAUAAAAAUGAAGUCUAUGACGCAAUCAUGAAUGACUUCUUUGUUCUCCGGUUUGGGUCAACAAUGUACAACAAACAUGGACUUGACAAGUCUAAACAUGACUACAUCCGCCAGAAGCUAAGAGAAUUGGGCAGAUUGCUUGUAGCUUUGAGAAAUACGUCAACUAUAGACUCUGUGAAAGAAGCAGUCAAACCAUCCAAUUUCAAGACUCUUAUCAAGGCCGUGAAGAAGGUCGCUGGCUUUGAUGAAGUAACUGGAAUCUACAAAUCACCCAGUUUGGCCCUUAAAAUUGGGCACUCCCUCCGGCGGGUUAGUGAACUGAUUAUGUGCCAGUUUCUUAUGGAUGAGGAUGACGAGGGGGUCGAGUCAAUCAGAAGGUUCCACAAAUUGUACGACACCCAGUGGUCAGAAUUUGUUUCCCACUCAGCCUUGACAAAUUUGAGCGAUGCUAAUUACAACAAGAGCACAACCAUCCCUCUAGCAGAGGAUGUUCAGAGACUUCAUCUCCAUCUUCAGCAGGAGGCAGAUUUGGCUACAGAGAACCUGAACAGUACAUCAUCCACAGGUACUUAUGCAGCCCUGGCUAAACUAACACUAUGCAAAGUCAUUCUAUUCAACAGGAGGAGGUCUGGUGAAGUCUCAAAGAUGACUUUAAAAAAUUUCCUGGAUCGGGAUAACUCAAAAAUCAACGACGACAUAACCACAGGACUGAACAAAAUCGAGAAGAGACUUUGUCAGCAGCUCAAUAGAGUCGAAUUGAAGGGGAAAAGGGGACGCAAAGUCGCGGUCCUCCUCACACCCGACAUGACUGCUUCAUUAACUCUCCUUGUCAGCAAAAGGAAAGAGUGUGGAGUCGAUGAUGGCAAUGGACACCUCUUUGCAAUUCCCCACUGUCAAGGUUUCUUCAGAGGACAAGACUGCCUCCGUAAAAAUGCUCGAGCUUGUGGAGCUGUUAACCCGUGCAGUUUGACCUCAACUAAUCUACGCAAGCAUAUUGCGACAAUUAGUCAGGUCAUGAAUCUAAAAGACAAUGAAUUGGACCAGCUUGCAAACUUCUUAGGCCAUGACAUACGGGUGCAUCGGGAAUACUACCGCUUGCCCCAGUCGACGAUUCAGCUUGCAAAAAUAUCUAAGCUGCUGAUUGCCAUGCAGGGCGGGAGUGUGAAAGACAUCCAAGGGAAGUCACUCGACCAGAUAGGCGAUGACGUAGAAGAUUUUGCCCCUACUCCCAAUCAUCCUGGUCCUCUUCCUGGAACUGGCAUCCAAGGUGGCGUGGAAGAUUUCGCCCCUGCUCCCAAUCAUCCAGGUCCUCCUCCUGAAACUGGCAUCCAAGGUGGCGUGGAAGAUUUCGCCCCUACUCCCAAUCAUCCAGCUCCUCCUCCUGAAACUGGCAUCCAAGGUAAACACAUUCCAUCUGAGAGGAGGCGCUGUGUUAAGAGACCGUGGUCAGGCACUGAAGCAAAGGCUGUGAUGAGGCACAUGGAGCCAUACGUUCGCAACGGACUUCUCGUCACGAGCGCUCAAUGUGCCAUGUGCAAAAAAAAAGAACACCCCGCAUUGGAAGGACGCACAAUUCAAAACAUUCGCGAUUUUGUGAGAAAUAA
ensembl:lncRNA